UACGGAGGAUCCAAGCGUUAUCCGGAUUUAUUGGGUUUAAAGGGUGCGUAGGCGGAUUAGUAAGUCAGUGGUGAAAGCCUGCAGCUUAACUGUAGAAUUGCCAUUGAUACUGCUAGUCUUGAAUAUAGUUGAGGUAGGCGGAAUAUGACAUGUAGCGGUGAAAUGCUUAGAUAUGUCAUAGAACACCGAUUGCGAAGGCAGCUGACUACGGGAGCAUUGACACUGAGGCACGAAAGCGUGGGGAUCAAACAGG
rnacentral:rRNA from 1 species